rnacentral:rRNA from 1 species
GACGAACGCUGGCGGCGUGCCUAAUACAUGCAAGUCGAACGAGAGCAACCGGUACUUGCACUGGUCAAUCUAGUGGCGAACGGGUGAGUAACACGUGGGUAACCUGCCCAUCAGAGGGGGAUAACAUCCGGAAACGGAUGCUAAAACCGCAUAGGUCUUCGAACCGCAUGGUUUGAAGAGGAAAAGAGGCGCAAGCUUCUGCUGAUGGAUGGACCCGCGGUGCAUUAGCUAGUUGGUGAGGUAACGGCUCACCAAGGCCGUGAUGCAUAGCCGACCUGAGGGGGUGUUCGGCCACAUUGGAACUGAGAAAGGGCCAAACUCCUACGGGAGGCAGCAGUAGGGAAUCUUCCGCAAUGGACGCAAGUCUGACGGAGCAACGCCGCGUGAGUGAAGAAGGUUUUCGGAUCGUAAAACUCUGUUGUUAGAGAAGAACAAGUGCUAGAGUAACUGUUAGCGCCUUGACGGUAUCUAACCAGAAAGCCACGGCUAACUACGUG